CUGUGAUGUAGGCAGUGCCGUCUCCUCUUCACAUCUUUAAUCUCGUGCAGGAGUGUUGAUGAGAAUGCCAAAUUGUCUUGACUCCGCCCCUCGAUGACUGCUUGCCUUGCAAGAGGACGACGCCAUUUUGUCUUCAUGCAACCAAGAAGAAUUGGCCCAGGCCCCUUCAGUGUCUGUAAGUGAAGAAAACUCAAUUGAGGUUCCAAACUAUGAAUCUGAUGACACUGUUCUUCUGAAUGAUGGAAGCCCUCCAAGAAAGCAACAGAGAGCUGAAGAUAAAGCCAGAAUUCUGGUCCAAAAAAUCCUGCAGACUAAACCUGGUGGGGAUGCAAUCAUCAGGGAAUACAACAAAACCAAAAGCCUGACUGACAGCACCAGGAGAAAGAUUAUCACAAGUCUUACUGCAGAUAUGUCUGAAAAGCAUAGCACAUCUCCACCCAAACGCAUCAGAGAAUUGUAUGCCCAAGGAAUUGUAGCCCUGUUUCCAAAUCUUCGGGAUCCCUACACAAAGAAUAGAUAUGAACAUUAUUAUGACCCUCAAAGUGGACAAGGUUACUUGACUUGGAAAAUAAAGAACAUUCAGAGGAACAGUGCACCAGAGAACCGUGGUGGCCCAACUGCAGAGAGAGAGGCUUCAUCCAGCACUGAGGUUAUUCUGACAGAAGAACAGUGUAGGGAAGCAGUUUCACUAAUGAAACAUACAUCAGAGGUGGACACAGUAAAGGUCAAAAUGAGGGAGACAUUUCAUAACGUUGCAAGAUGAUUCAUGACCCAUGCAGAUGCACUGAUGUGCUGAAUUAAUUUCCAUGUUUCUUGGAUAUUAAAGCCCUGGUAAAACAACAUAUUAAUUGGGUGAUAAAUAUGAUAAAAGAGAAUUUUCAUUUUUGGAUGUUUUAUUCCUUUUAUCAUCGGUUAGGGUUAAAGGAAUACUCCGGGUUUAAUGCAAGUUAAGCUUAAUUGACAGCAUUUGUGGCAUAAUGUUGAUUACCAUAGAAAUAAUAUCAACCUAUCUCUCUUUUUCUAAAAAAAAAAAAAAAAAAAAAAAAAAAUCAUGUUCACAGUGAAUAGUACCAAUUUUUGGUUGUUUAAAGGCAGAAAUGUGAAUGUUGUAAUUUUACAAAAGGCCUUACAUUAAUUCUACUGUUAAAACUCAGGUUAUUCGAGCUGUAAAGUUGUUUAAAUCAUCAUUUUUAUGGUCGUUGUAGGGUUUACAAUGUUAUAUCUUCAUGACAACAAAGUUGUAAAAAAAAAAAAAAACUUCACAGAAAUUUAGUAAGCGUAUAGUUAUCAAACUAUAAUCGUUGACAAACAUAUUGUUUACAUCUGGUUAUACUUUUGGCCCCAUUCACUUCCAUUGUGAAUGUCUCAUUGUAACCUAGAUGUUUUCUUGUAUUAAAGAACAAGAGGAACCAGGCAAAAUUCAUUUUUGUGGGAAAUAACAAUUCCACAAUUGCUGUUGAUUGUGCUCAACUUCUAUCGAACCCAGAAUAUUCCUUUUGAAGUAAAUGGACUCACACAAGUGUUUGUCUGCUUUGAUGGUUUAUUCAGAUUGAGCUGGAUUUUGUUUUGAUUUUUGGUGAGAAGACAUCAGCUAAGUUCUAGGAAAGGUGGCCAACUACAUUUAUACAGAAAGUCAUUCAACAAAGCAAAGGUCUUCACUUCUCCCAAGACUUUCAGGACCUGAUUAGAAUCAGCUGUGAAGGAGGAUGAAACAGUUGAUAUCAGGUUAGACUAGUGGAGUUUAUAAUAAGAUUAUGUAGACAUGUCCAUGUAUUUUUUUCUGCAGUUGCCAUAUCUGUUAUUUAGGAUGGGGCAGCGAUCUUGCUUCAGUUCUUCUCUUCAUUCGAUUCCACCAUCACCACAAGGCUGCAAGAGACCUGGAAAGAUGUCCACAUCUCAAGCUGAGAAACACCUAGUAAUCUUCAAAAAGGCAGGGACUAGCAUACAAGAACACCUUGAUUCCACUGAAGUGAGCACACAGAAAUACAUGCUCACCAUUGGGACAAAGAAGAACAGCAUUCAUGGAUACUACAUAAUUCUCGACAAGAAAACCAUACCAUGCAAGUCUGUGAGUGGUCUUGGUGACUUUGAUGAACUGUUCAAGGCCCACUUUGUGUUUGGUGCAUCUUACAGUAAAGUGCUGCACAACAUUCUACACGUUCUACAAACAACUGUUUUUCAGAUUGACAUUGGCAAGAUCAAAGAGAGUCCAAGAGUUGCUGAGCUCAGAGCUAGAUUCAUGCAUUAAUUAGAGUUGAUUUGAUGGCAGAUGGAGACCUGAUAAGGCUCGCCAGAACGUCAGAGUGGGAGAGAGAGUGGCUAUGAGCAGUGUCUGAAGGACCAGCAGCAAAACUGAAACUGCCUAUAUUGAAAAGCCCUGGUUGAGCUGGCCACUGAGAGCCAUUUCUUAUUUUCUGUUAAUCUGAAGUGUGUGUAGAGAAUAAAUACUCAACUGUUUGCUGUCUCCUCACUCCUCCAUUGCCCACGAACUUGGAUCUUUCACAGUGGUGCCGAAACUUGGCUUUAGAGGAGAACGCCGUUAUGUCCGUACCGCUGGGCGAAGUCUUCAAGACCCUCGUCAGCAUCCAGCAAAAUCAGCAUCAAGCCCUCAUGGAUAUACGCCUGGGGCAGGAACAGCAUUUUCAAGUCUUGCUCCAGGCACAAGCGGAGGACUGGCAGGUGCUCCGGAGCCUGAUCGCCAGAGAGGGGGCUGGCGCUAUGACCUCCCCAGAACCCACCCCACCCAUGGCCCUGAUGAAGAUGGGGCCGAAUGAUGACUUCCUAGAUUUGUUCGAGAAGACGGCAGAGGUAUGGAAGUGGCCUCCUGACCAGUGGGCGGUCCGCUUAUGGCCCCUACUCUCGGGGAGGUGCAGCUUGCGGCACAACAACUUCCCGCCACCAGCCUCCUUGACUACCAACACCUAAUGAAGGCCAUCCAGCAACGGGUGGGUCAUAGCCCCAAGCAGAGUCGUCAGCUCUUUAGAUCCCUGAGCUUUGGGAAGCACAGCCGCCCGUUCGCUUUUGCACAACAGCUCCGGGAUGCCUGCCGGAAAUGGUUGAGGGAACCCGCGGCACCAUGGAGGUUGUCGAUCUGGUGGUACUGGAGCAGUUCGUCUCCCAACUUUCUCGAGGAAUGUCCGAGUAGAUCCAGUGCCACCGCCCGGCAUCGCUGGAAGAGGCUGUCCAGCUGGCAGAGGACUACAUGGCGGCGUUUCCAGGAAGCAGCGAUAUAGUUCUUUUUCUUCUCCCUCUUCUCUCUCUGCACCCCCUGUGUGUCACUCCCCCCCCCCCCUUCCCUCCCAGUCCCGCCCAUUUCGGGCUCCCCGGAAGUGGGGAGGAGCCAUGCCCAAACCCCAUCCCCAGUCCAGGGGACCCCUCACCUUGUCUGUCCCUCCUACUCCCCCUGUCUCCCUCCGCUAUCCCCCCCCAGGUUGGCGAGACCACCCCCAUGAGUGUGGAAGGAAAGCCUGGGCCGGUCUGUUGGAGCUGUGGGGAAGCCAGGCAUAGCCAGGAUCGAUAUCCGGUGAUGGAGGUGGGGACACCGAUCCAGAUCCCCGACCCUCCACAGGUUGCCCCCGAUUGGGCAGGGGCGUAUAAGAUACCAGUAAGAGUAAAACGGGAUAGACAUCAAGCUUUGGUGGAUUCGGGUGGUUCCCAAACCUCUAUCCACCAAUGCUUGGUGCAAGGCGGGGCACUGGGUAAGAAUAAACAGGUGAGGGUGAGGUGUGUGCAUGGUGACAUUGACAAGUAUCCGGUGGUUACCACUGAGAUACAAUUCAGGGGAAAAAGAGUAUAGAGGCAUAGAGUCGAGGCCGCGGUUAAAUCUGGCCUAAACCCAUCCAUUAAUUCUGGGAACCAAUUGGCCUGGUUUUAAAAUGUAUUGAGGGUAAUGUGUGUGGAUGGGUCCUACAAAGUGGUGUCGUGGUGUGUGACGUGCAAUGCUAUGGCUGGAGAGGCGGUGCCAGAGCUGUCCAUGGCGGCCCCGCAUCAUGAUGAUGCAGACUAGGGAAUUCCAGUACUCAGGGGCUUUUCUGAGGGGGAUUUCCCUCUGGAGCAGUCGCAUGAUGUCCCUCAAGCACGCCUUUGACCAAGUGAAAGUAACUGAUGGUCAACAGCUGCAGCCUAAAGUUGCGCUCACAUAUCCAUACUUUUCUAUUAUUAAAGCGGUUGUAUCGAGUGACGCAGGACACUCAGACCAAAAAAAAUACAACUCAGCUAUUAGUACCAAAGAGCUGUCAGGAAACACUCUUCCAGGCGGCUCGCUAUAACCCAAUGGCUGGUCACUUAGGUCAAGAAAAGACUUUGAACUGUAUAAUGGCCCAUUUUUUUUGGCUGGGCAUUCACGGCAAUGUACAUAAAUAGCAUGCGGCAUGUCGUGAAUGUCAGUUGGUGAACCCAACGGCCACCCCAAAAGCGCCAUUUUGCCCUCAGCCAUUGAUCGAGAUCUCCUUAGAGAGAAUUGCCAUGGACCUCAUCGGGCCAUUAGAGUGGACUGCACACAGGCAUCGCUUUGUAUUCAUUCUGGUGGACUAUGCAAUGUGAUAUCCGGAAGCAGUGCCUAUACGCAACAUCUCAGCACAUAGUGUU